UUCGGCGUGGUCUAGUGGCUAGGAUAUCUGGCUCUCACUCAGGAGGCCCGGGUUCAAUUCCCGGUGUCGGAA
rnacentral:tRNA from 1 species